UUCCUGUUGAGGGGCCGUCAGGGCCGCUGUGGGUCCUGAAGACAGUGGGUGCCAUAUGGACCAGGGGGUGCGGAAGCCUCUAGAGGUUGCGGGAGGCAAGGAGACGGUCGCUUUCCCAGAGCCAGCCCUGCCGACACCUCGAUGUUAGGUGGUGGGACCUGUUUUGGACUCCAGCUUCCAGAAAUGUGUUCACAGUGGCGUGAGGGGAUGGCAUCAGGGUUCUGGGAACUGCAGUUUUACUGAAGGAAGGGAGCUCGCCACGCCUUUCCUCAUGUAACUGAAGAUUUCUUGGCAUCUUCUCCCUUAUCCAGAAGUGAGGGUGAACGCCGAGUUAUUCACAGGAGUCAAGAGACCACACACAGCCCAAAGUGACAUUUGUUUCCCUGAAAUGAUUUGUGUGUGUUCACCUUAAAAUGCAACUCAGUAAAACAGGUGUGUUUUGAGGAAUGACUUUAAAUUACCCAGGUAAAAAUGUGACAGUUAAA